CUUUCCUUAGCUGGACAGCCCUUCAUCUCUCUGACUGGUCCAUCUCAGAGGACAAGCCCUGGAGACUCGGUGCCUUUCAACUGUACUGCUGGCCCCUUCAACUCCCAGAACUUCUCCCGGGACUUCAAUGUUACCUGGUUGAAGGACAGUGAUGAACAUCCAGCCUCAGCUCAGCGCCUGGUGCCUGACAAUGGAGGCAAUGACUUCAUCACCAGCAAGGCAUGGGUGACACUGACGCGACAGGAUGUCUCAUCUGAGAUCACCUGCAAAGUCACCCACAGGGCCCUGGCAGACCCCCUGAAAACAACCAUGAAUCUCUCCCAAGUGCUCCGAGUUGUCCCCACCCUGAAGAUCACCACUGAACCCUCUGGGACCCAUGUACAUGUGCAAGACAGAGUGAAUCUCACCUGCCAUGUCCUCCACUUCUAUCCCACCCACCUGCGACUCACCUGGAUGGAGAACAGGCGCAUGAUCCAGACCCUGGUGUCCCCUCAGGUCACCAGAAAUCCAGAUGGGACAUACUCUCUGGAGCACACGUGGCAGGCAGAGGCCACGCUGGAGGAGCGUGAGUUUGCUUGCUGGGUGGUCCACGAUGAGCAGCCCCCACUCAAGACCAACGUCGCCCUGCAAGCCCGGUUGCAAGGCCCCCUUCAGCGAUCUGAGCCCGGCACAAGGAUCCGAUUGACCUACACAUCCUCUGGGUUCUCGACACACCAGGUUACUGUGACCUGGCUUAAAAACAAACACGAGCUCCCAAACCCCCAGACCAGCGUCCAGUACAGUGGACACACCUACAAUGUGACCAGCAGUGUGCUUGUCCUGCUGACGGAUGAUGAUGUGUUCUCCCACGUCGUUUGCCAUGUCGAGCACAAGUUGAUGCGGUUUUUCCAGAAAACCAUUGGCCUGGACCAGUACCUCCGGGUUCCUCCUACAGUGACAGUGUCCCAGUCUUCCACCUCCUCCAGCUUGGUGGCUGCUACUUGCCUCGUGCAGAGAUUCUAUCCACAAAACGUGCACCUCGCCUGGCUAGAGGACUGCCAUACACUCAAAGGCACUGAGCAACCCACAUUAAAGAAGAAUGAUGAUGGGUCCUACACCCUGGAAAACCUGCUGCUGGUGAAUGCAUCAGUGCAGGGGCCUGAGCGGGUGCUCACCUGCAUGGUGGAACAUGAGGGACAGCCUCCCAAACGGGCCAACCUCAUACUGUCCACAGCAGCCCACACCGCUUAUAAGCCCAUUGGGAGCACAGGUCCAGAGAUGCCUGCCCUUAUCUUUGUGGUUUUCCUCCUGGGCCUCAAGGUGCUGCUGGUGAUGAGUUUCACAGUGACCUACAUCUGCAGGAGGUGGAACCUGUGAUAG
rnacentral:sRNA from 1 species